AUGUGGUUAUUCGAGCACGCGCAGAACCUUACCAUCCUUUGACAUGGCGUGUUACCCACSAKWRAWUKGGGGUCCACUUCGGUGGCGCGCACACAGGUGCUGCAUGGCUGUCGUCAGCUCGUGUCGUGAGAUGUUGGGUUAAGUCCCGCAACGAGCGCAACCCACGUCCUUAGUUGCCAUCAUUCAGUUGGGCACUCUAGGGAGACUGCCGGUGAUAAGCCGCGAGGAAGGUGUGGAUGACGUCAAGUCCUCAUGGCCCUUACGGGAUGGGCUACACACGUGCUACAAUGGCGGUGACAGUGGGACGCGAAGGAGCGAUCUGGAGCAAAUCCCCAAAAGCCGUCUCAGUUCGGAUUGCACUCUGCAACUCGAGUGCAUGAAGGCGGAAUCGCUAGUAAUCGUGGAUCAGCAUGCCACGGUGAAUACGUUCCCGGGCCUUGUACACACCG
rnacentral:rRNA from 1 species